GACUAUUACUGUUGGCGACGUUGCAGACCUCAAGUACCAUCACUGUUGGUGACUCCUUGCAGACUGUAGUUUGAGAACGUUGUGGUGACCUGACAGUGCCCUGCUGUUGAGGAACUCUCUGGAUUCUCUCUCUCUAUCAUAACCGCAUUCUGUCUUUCCUAUCCAUCUACCUUGCUCUGUCUAAUUUUUGGCUAUUCUAUCUGUUGUGUCCCUCAAGUUACCAGUACUUGAUCUCUGCCACCAGGUUACAAGUACUUGGUGGUACGCUCUAUCUAUUUUUGGUAUUUCUCUCUUGCUAUCCCACUCUACAAGUGAAAAGUGCUUGAUCUAUCCCACUCUAUCUAUAAGAACCGCAAAACGAUUUUAUGAAAAAACUCUGGCACUGAUUUUUGAAACAACUCUUGGCAUUUUGGCUUUCAAGUUACCAGUACUUGAUCUAUCUGUUGAAAAGCAACUCUAAGAGUCUCUCUGCUCUUACGCUCUCUCUCUCUGUCUCUAUCUCAAGUUACCAGUACUUGAUCUAUCUUUUGAAAAAGCAAAUCUAAGAGUCUCUCUGCUCUUACGCUCUCUCUUUCUGUCUCUGUCAAAUGAAAAGUGCUUGAACUCAACAUUUAAUUGUAUCAUUUUCACAACACAUAAAUUGUUGUACUAAGUGGAUAGUUACAAAUAUAUCCCUGUUCUUUUGAAACAAUAUACAAAGGUUAUACGUUUAUAAUUUCAAUCCAUAUUUAUUUGAUAAGAACUGUUGUUACUGCAUUUUGUUACUGUAAACGUAUCUAAUUCCUAAAGGCUGUUUUAAGUUCAGAAAUCGUCAUAUUUGAUUUUUGCUGUAUACGUUUACUUAACUAGUUAACAUAAUACGAUAUUGUAUUUAUUUUCUCUGAUAAACGUAAACACACCCCAGGUAUACAGUUCACACACUGUUUUAAUCAGA